GAUGAAGAACGCAGCGAAAUGCGAUACGUAAUGUGAAUUGCAAAUUCAGUGAAUCAUCGAGUCUUUGAACGCACAUUGCGCCCCCUGGUAUUCCGGGGGGCAUGCCUGUCCGAGCGUCAUUGCUGCCCUCAAGCACGGCUUGUGUGUUGGGCCCCGUCCUCCGAUCCCGGGGGACGGGCCCGAAAGGCAGCGGCGGCACCGCGUCCGGUCCUCGAGCGUAUGGGGCUUUGUCACCCGCUCGAUUAGGGCCGGCCGGGCGCCAGCCGGCGUCUCCAACCUUCUAUUUUACCAGGUUGACCUCGGAUCAGGUAGGGAUACCCGCUGAACUUAAGCAUAUCAAUAAGCGGAGGA
rnacentral:misc_RNA from 1 species